UACAGAGGGGGCAAGCGUUGUUCGGAAUUACUGGGCGUAAAGGGUGCGUAGGCGGCUUUCUAAGUUGGAUGUGAAAACUCUGGGCUCAACCCAGAGCCUGCAUCCAAAACUGGAGAGCUAGGGUUCUGGAGGGGAAAGCGGAAUUCCUGGUGUAGCGGUGAAAUGCGUAGAUAUCAGGAGGAACACCGGUGGCGAAGGCGGCUUUCUGGACAGAUACCGACGCUGAGGCACGAAAGCUAGGGGAGCAAACAGG
rnacentral:rRNA from 1 species